AUUUCCAGGCCCGGACUGGCCAUCGGGCACACCGGGCAAAUGCCCGGUGGGCCGCGGUGGCCGUGGGGCCGAGGCCGGCAGGGGAGGUCCCAGGAUCUCCCCUGCCGGUCUAUGCAGGGCCGGCACUCUCCCAGCGCCGGCCCCGCUGUUUGUCACGACGGGCCGGUGGGGAGAUCAAGGAUCUCCCUCACCGGCCAAUUUAAAUAGACCUGCGGCUGGGGAGGGAGGGAGAGGACCCGGCGGAGCUCUGUCUUGCAGCUCCGCCGGGUUUCUCUCGCGAGAUCCGGAGCGUUGCCAUGGCAACGCCCCGAUCUCGCGAGAGGGUUCACUCACCACUGGACCACCAGGGAUGGUGUGCGAGUGCCGGUGCCCCCCCUCCCAGCUACCACGUGCAUGUCCCCCCUCCCAGGCUAAAGGUAAGAAGGAAGGGGGGGGGCCGGCUUAGUUUUUUUUUUUUUUUAUAUAUUUACCCCCACUUAAUUUUUUAUUUGUUUAUUUACCCCCCAACACACAACAUUUAUACACAGCACUAUCACACUCAGCAUUCUCAGCACUCACACAGCACUCUCACACACAUCACACCCAGCACUCUCACACCCAGCACUCUCACACUCAGCACUCUCACACUCAGCACUCUCACACACAGCACUCUCACACUCAGCACUCUCACACACAUCACACGCAGCACUCUCACACACAUCACACGCAGCACUCUCACACACAUCAUAGCACUCUCACACACAGCACUUUCACACACAGCACUCUCACACACAUCAUAGCACUCUCACACACAGCACUUUCACACUCAGCACUCUCACACACAUCACACGCAGCACUCUCACACAC